AUCCCAUGGUGGGGACAUUGUCUAAGAAACUAUUUAAAUAUUUCUCAAGCAUCAAAUAAGGAUUCAUCUUCUCCUUGUCUAAAUGAGGUAAUCUUGUUUCUCAUCUU